GAAAGGAUAAAUACAUAAGGAAAAGAGAUGCAGGAAGCUGCAGAGACACUGGCCAUUUAUCUGAGAAGUGCCCAAUGAGGCAUCACCGGAUAAGCACACGUCGGGUCGUUCUCCUGCUUCAGUAAGGUGGUUCUCCCUUCCUCUCCUCACCUUUCCCCACACUUCCCAAUAUUGCCCUUCCUUCUUUUGUGUUUGUCUUUCUGUCUGUCAUCAUUGUUACAACAUAGAGCUAUUUCCACUUGGUGCACUGCUCAACAGCAAAAUACUGGCCUUAUCUACUAGAUGGACUGGAACAAGAGAGUUUCAUGGUGUAUUGUCAAGCUUAAAAUAGAGGACAGUUGGGCUAGAAUUGACCUUGAUAAGGCAUUCUCUUAGUUUCAUGAAGAACAUUUGAUUACAAAAAUUUCUGAGAAUAGACUUAGUAUACUCCAAAAUAAGAUCUUAUAUCUGUGUGCCACAGUUUUGGCAUAAAUACCCAAUUAUUCCCUUACAACACUGGAGUAAUCCUUUAUACAAAAUCCUACCUACUUCCCAAGAGUGCUUACCAUAAAAGGUAAGUGUCUGGAUGUGCACAUUCAUGUUCAUAAGUACAAACACAAAAUGAUAAAAAUAAUGACUUUAGAACAAAAAUAAUUAGGAGAAAGUAGAGCUAUGAGGAAAAAGUAUUUUUGAGCAUCUUUCUUUAGAAAAUUCUGAGCCAAAAUAACUUUUUACCUUAUACCAGUAUUGCCACUCUGUGAUUAUUUUAAAGCUGGAAUGGAAAGGAAGUCUGAAGAUAAGAAAUCCCUUAAUUUCAUCAAUCACAACAAGAGCCAACUUAGAAGUAUGGAAUUCUUCCUAAUAAACUGUCAACUAGCUGUCAGCAACUACCUACAUUUGCUGUGGAAUUUGCAGGUCUGUGGCGUUGACAUUAUCAAUGCUAUGGAUGCCUCAAGGCUCUCAUAAAAAUACAUGGCUUCAGCAAUACGCAUGCAGUUAUCUCAGUUUAAAGGAAAUGGGUUCUGCUCCCUGCUUAAUAAGAAAU
rnacentral:lncRNA from 1 species